rnacentral:rRNA from 1 species
AGCGUACACGGUGGAUGCCUGGGCAGUCAGAGGCGAUGAAGGACGUACUAACUUGCGAUAAGCGCAGAUAAGGCAGUAAGAGCCGUUUGAGUCUGCGAUUUCCGAAUGGGGAAACCCAACUGCAUAAGCAGUUACUGUUAACUGAAUACAUAGGUUAACAGAGCAAACCGGGGGAACUGAAACAUCUAAGUACCCCGAGGAGAAGAAAUCAACCGAGAUUCCGGUAGUAGCGGCGAGCGAACCUGGAUUAGCCCUUAAGCACUCGGUGAAGUAGGUGAACAAGCUGGAAAGCUUGGCGAUACAGGGUGAUAGCCCCGUAACCGACGCUUCAUCGAGCGUGAAAUCGAGUAGGGCGGGACACGUGAUAUCCUGUCUGAAUAUGGGGGGACCAUCCUCCAAGGCUAAAUACUCCUGACUGACCGAUAGUGAACCAGUACCGUGAGGGAAAGGCGAAAAGAACCCCUGUGAGGGGAGUGAAAUAGAACCUGAAACCGUGUACGUACAAGCAGUAGGAGCACCUUCGUGGUGUGACUGCGUACCUUUUGUAUAAUGGGUCAGCGACUUAUAUUCAGUGGCAGGUUAACCGUAUAGGGGAGCCGUAGCGAAAGCGAGUCUUAACUGGGCGCUCAGUCUCUGGAUAUAGACCCGAAACCGGGUGAUCUAGCCAUGGGCAGGUUGAAGGUUGAGUAACAUCAACUGGAGGACCGAACCGACUAAUGUUGAAAAAUUAGCGGAUGACUUGUGGCUAGGGGUGAAAGGCCAAUCAAACUCGGAGAUAGCUGGUUCUCCCCGAAAGCUAUUUAGGUAGCGCCUCGGACGAAUACUACUGGGGGUAGAGCACUGUUAAGGCUAGGGGGUCAUCCCGACUUACCAACCCUUUGCAAACUCCGAAUACCAGUAAGUACUAUCCGGGAGACACACGGCGGGUGCUAACGUCCGUCGUGGAGAGGGAAACAACCCAGACCGCCAGCUAAGGUCCCAAAGUAUUGCUAAGUGGGAAACGAUGUGGGAAGGCUCAGACAGCUAGGAUGUUGGCUUAGAAGCAGCCAUCAUUUAAAGAAAGCGUAAUAGCUCACUAGUCGAGUCGGCCUGCGCGGAAGAUGUAACGGGGCUAAGCAAUACACCGAAGCUGCGGCAAUAUCUUUUAGAUAUUGGGUAGGGGAGCGUUCUGUAAGCCGUUGAAGGUGAAUCGUAAGGUUUGCUGGAGGUAUCAGAAGUGCGAAUGCUGACAUGAGUAACACAAAGGGGGUAAAACCUCCUCGCCGGAAGACCAAGGGUUCCUGUCCAACGUUAAUCGGGGCAGGGUGAGUCGACCCCUAAGGUGAGGCCGAAAGGCGUAAUCGAUGGGAAACGGGUUAAUAUUCCCGUACUUCUGACUAUUGCGAUGGGGGGACGGAGAAGGCUAGGUGGGCCAGGCGACGGUUGUCCUGGUUCAAGUGCGUAGGCUUGAGAGUUAGGUAAAUCCGGCUCUCUCUAAGGCUGAGACACGACGCGAGCUGCUACGGCAGUGAAGUCAUUGAUGCCAUGCUUCCAGGAAAAGCCUCUAAGCUUCAGAUAGUCAGGAAUCGUACCCCAAACCGACACAGGUGGUCGGGUAGAGAAUACCAAGGCGCUUGAGAGAACUCGGGUGAAGGAACUAGGCAAAAUGGUACCGUAACUUCGGGAGAAGGUACGCUCUUGAUGGUGAAGUCCCUCGCGGAUGGAGCUGACGAGAGUCGCAGAUACCAGGUGGCUGCAACUGUUUAUUAAAAACACAGCACUGUGCAAAAUCGCAAGAUGACGUAUACGGUGUGACGCCUGCCCGGUGCCGGAAGGUUAAUUGAUGGGGUUAGCGCAAGCGAAGCUCUUGAUCGAAGCCCCGGUAAACGGCGGCCGUAACUAUAACGGUCCUAAGGUAGCGAAAUUCCUUGUCGGGUAAGUUCCGACCUGCACGAAUGGCGUAAUGAUGGCCACGCUGUCUCCACCCGAGACUCAGUGAAAUUGAAAUCGCUGUGAAGAUGCAGUGUACCCGCGGCUAGACGGAAAGACCCCGUGAACCUUUACUACAGCUUGGCACUGAACAUUGAACCUACAUGUGUAGGAUAGGUGGGAGGCUAUGAAGACGUGACGCCAGUUGCGUUGGAGCCGUCCUUGAAAUACCACCCUUGUAUGUUUGAUGUUCUAACUUAGACCCAUUAUCUGGGUUGAGGACAGUGCCUGGUGGUAGUUUGA